AACGAACGCUGGCGGCAGGCCUAACACAUGCAAGUCGAACGCCCUAGCAAUAGGGAGUGGCGCACGGGUGCGUAACGCGUGGGAAUAUGCCCUUCACUGCGGAAUAACGUUUGGAAACGAACGCUAAUACCGCAUAAUGACUCCGGUCCAAAGAUUUAUCGGUGAAGGAUUAGCCCGCGUUAGAUUAGCUAGUUGGUGAGGUAAUGGCUCACCAAGGCGACGAUCUAUAGCUGGUCUGAGAGGAUGACCAGCCACACUGGGACUGAGACACGGCCCAGACUCCUACGGGAGGCAGCAGUGGGGAAUUUUGGACAAUGGGGGGCAACCCUGAUCCAGCAAUGCCGCGUGAGUGAAGAAGGCCUUCGGGUUGUAAAGCUCUUUUGUCAGGGAAGAAACGAUAUCUCUAAUACAGGUGUUAAUGACGGUACCUGAAGAAUAAGCACCGGCUAACUACGUAGCCAGCAGCCGCGGUAA
rnacentral:rRNA from 1 species